rnacentral:pre_miRNA from 1 species
ACUGGAAUUGCUAGGUUGAAUGAUACUCUGUUUAACAUUCUGAGAAACUACCAGAUUAUUUUCCAAUGUCAACAUACCAUUUUACAUUGCCACCAGCUGG